rfam:Oryctolagus cuniculus chromosome 12, whole genome shotgun sequence.
CCAAAGGCUCUUUUCAGAGCCACCCACCUCUGCUCUAAAGGGCUGU